AUACGUAGGUGGCAAGCGUUGUCCGGAUUUACUGGGUGUAAAGGGCGUGUAGGCGGAGCAGCAAGUCAGAAGUGAAAUCUCCGGGCUUAACCCGGAAACUGCUUUUGAAACUGUUGCCCUUGAGUAUCGGAGAGGCAGGCGGAAUUCCUAGUGUAGCGGUGAAAUGCGUAGAUAUUAGGGGGAACACCAGUGGCGAAGGCGGCCUGCUGGACGACCGCGGAAGCUGAGGCGCGAAAGCGGGGGGAGCAAACAGGAUUAGAUGCCCUGGUCGUCCACUCCGUAAACGAUGGAUACUAGGUGUGGGGGGACUGACCCCCUCCGUGCCGCAGUUAACACAAUAAGUAUCCCCCCUGGGGAGUACGAUCGCAAGAUUGAAACUCAAAUGAAUUGACGGGG
rnacentral:rRNA from 1 species